AGUCAGGACCCGCGCAGCAAAGGCUGGUAAACCCCGUCAGGACCGGAAGGUAGCAGCGGUAGCUGGAUUCUUUGUGUGCCGCGGUGUUCCUGGUGAUG
rnacentral:SRP_RNA from 1 species